rnacentral:lncRNA from 1 species
CAAGUGUUUGAGUCCAUCGGCAAGUUUGGACUGGCCUUAGCUGUUGCAGAAGGCAUGGUGAACUCUGCCUUAUAUAACAUGGAUGCUGGGCACAGAACUGUCAUCUUUGACCGAUUCUGUGGAGUACAGGACAUUGUGGUAGGGUAAGGGACUCACUUUCUCAUACCAUGGGUACAGAAACCAAUUAUCUUUGACCACCGUUCUCAACCACAUAAUGUGCCAGUCAUCACUGGUAGCAAAGAUUUACAGAAUGUCAAUAUCAUUCCGUGCAUCCUCUUUGGGCCUGUCACUAGCCAGCUUCCUCGCAUCUUCACCAGGAUCGGAGAAGACUAUGAUGAGCGUGUGCUGCCAUCCAUCACUACUGAGAUCCUCAAGUCAGUGGUGGCUCGCUUUGAUGCUGGAGAACUAAUCACCCAGAGAGAACUGGUCUCCAGGCAGGUGAGCGACGACCUUAUGGAGCGAGCAGCCACCUUUGGGCUCAUCCUGGAUGAUGUGUCUUUGACACAUCUGACCUUCAGGAAGGAGUUCACAGAAGCAGUGGAAGCCAAACAGGUGGCUCAGCAGGAUGCAGAGAGGGCCAGAACUCACUGGCCACUGCAGGGGACGGCCUGAUGGAGCUGUGCAAGCUGGAAGCUGCAGAGGACAUCACGUACCAGCUCUCUCGCUCUUGGAACAUCACCAAUCUGCCGGCAGGGCAGUCCGUGCUCCUCCAGCUGCCCCAGUGA